CGCGUUCUUUAUGUCAUAACGACUCUCGGCAACGGAUAUCUCGGCUCUCGCAUCGAUGAAGAACGUAGCGAAAUGCGAUACGUGGUGUGAAUUGCAGAAUUCCGUGAACCAUCGAGUUUUUGAACGCAAGUUGCGCCCGAAGCCAUYCGGCCGA
rnacentral:rRNA from 1 species